CCAGACUCCUACGGGAGGCAGCAGUGGGGAAUAUUGCACAAUGGGGGAAACCCUGAUGCAGCGACGCCGCGUGAGUGAAGAAGUAUUUCGGUAUGUAAAGCUCUAUCAGCAGGGAAGAAAAUGACGGUACCUGACUAAGAAGCCCCGGCUAACUACGUGCCAGCAGCCGCGGUAAUACGUAGGGGGCAAGCGUUAUCCGGAUUUACUGGGUGUAAAGGGAGCGUAGACGGCAGAGCAAGUCUGAAGUGAAAGCCCGCGGCCCAACUGCGGGACUGCUCUUGGAACUGCGUGGCUGGAGUGCAGGAGGGGCAGGCGGAAUUCCUGGUGUAGCGGUGAAAUGCGUAGAUAUCAGGAGGAACACCGGUGGCGAAGGCGGCCUGCUGGACUGCAACUGACGUUGAGGCCCGAAAGCGUGGGGAGCAAACAGGAUUAGAUACCCGAGUA
rnacentral:rRNA from 1 species